GGUUGCGAUCAUACCAGCACUAAUGCACCGUAUCCCAUCAAAACUCCGCAGUUAAGCGUGCUUGGGCGAGAGUAGUACUAGGAUGGGUCACCCCCUGGGAAGUUCUCGUGUUGCAACCCC
rnacentral:rRNA from 1 species